UCGUAAUGCUAGAGGAUAGGGACCAGUCACCAAUGAUCAACCUAAAAUAAUCUGGCAAGAAAAUAUAUGGAGGGCCAGGUGGGGGAUGUCGGUGAAGCUGAAAGGGCCUGUGGAAGACAAGGGAGGACGGCAGUGGAGAGGGCCGAGGUCGAAGGGUGCCGGCAGAUGAGGAAAAAAGAUGAAGUGAAGGAUGACAGAGGAUAAUAGUUAAAGCCACCGAGGGUAAGGCAUUCCCAUCCAAGUCCAGUGACUACAACUUUCCAAGCAAUUAAUCAUGUUGCUGUAUUAAAAGAGAGUAGAAGAUGUGGCA
rnacentral:lncRNA from 1 species